CAUCAGUGGUGAGAGAGUUUGAUUCUGGCUCAGAUUGAACGCUGGCGGGAUGCUUUACACAUGCAAGUCGAACGGCAGCACGGACUUCGGUCUGGUGGCGAGUGGCGAACGGGUGAGUAAUGUCGGAACGUGCCUAGUAGCGGGGGAUAACUACGCCAGCCCGUAGCUAAUACCGCAUACGCCCUUCGGGGAAAGCGGGGGACCUUCGGGCCUCGCACUAUUAGAGCGGCCGAUAUCGGAUUAGCUGGUUGGUGGGGUAACGGCUCACCAAGGCGACGAUCCGUAGCUGGUUUGAGAGGACGACCAGCCACACUGGGACUGAGACACAUUUAACGAACUCCUACGGGGAGGCAGCAGUGGGGAAUUUUGGACAAUGGGGGAAACCCUGAUCCAGCCAUCCCGCGUGUGCGAUGAGGCCUUCGGGUUGUAAAGCACUUUGGCAGGAAAAGCUUGGCACGGGAUAAUACCCCGUGCAGCGGCGGUACCUGAGAUAGCCCACAACGGCUAACUACGUGCCGUAACGGCCAUGACCGUAGAGGGUGCAAGCGUUAAUCGGAAUUACUGGGCGUAAAGCGUGCGCAGGCGGUUCGGAAAGAAAGAUGUGAAAUCCCAGAGCUUAACUUUGGAACUGCAUUUUACCGAGCUAGAGUGUCAGAGGGAGGUGGAAUUCCGCGUGUAGCAGUGAAAUGCGUAGAUAUGCGGAGGAACACCGAUGGCGAGCAGCCUCCUGGGAUAACACUGACGCUCAUGCACGAAAGCGUGGGGGGAGCAAACGGGAUUAGAUACCCUGGUAGUCCACGCCCUAAACGUGUCAACUAGCUGUUGGGGCCUUCGGGCCUUGUUAUGCAGCUAACGCGUGAAGUUGACCGCCUGGGGGUGCGGUCGCUGGUCAAACUCGAAGUUGACGGGGACCACUGAAAGCGGUGGAUGAUGUGGAUUAAUUCGAUGCAACGCGAAAAACCUUACGCCUACCUCUGUUAUGUCUGGAAUCCCGAAGAGAUUUGGGAGUGCUCGCAAGAGAACCGGAACACAGGUGCUGCGUAAACAUCGAUAAUAAUGUAUGGAUGUGGGAUAAGUCUGUGAGCACAACGUGCUCAUUGGAUUAACAAGAAGAGCCCUCGUAAAAAGGACUGCAGUGACAAACCGGAGGAAGGUGGGGAUGACGUCAAGUCCUCAUGGCCCUUAUGGGUAGGGCUUCACACGUCAUACAAUGGUCGGAAUGAGGUCGCCAACCCGCGAGAGGCCAAUCCAGAAAACCCGAUCGUAGUCCGGAUCGCAGUCUGCAGCUCGACUGCGUGAAGUCGGAUAUUCGUAAUCGCGGAUCAGCAUGUCGCGGUGAAUACGUUCCGAGGUCUUACCUACACCGCCCGUCACACCAUGGGGAGGUGGUUUGUGCCAGAAGUAGUUAGCCUAACCGUAAGGAGGGCGAUUACCACGGUGAUUCAUGACUGGGGUGAAGUCGUAGCCUGCAGAC
rnacentral:rRNA from 1 species